rnacentral:lncRNA from 1 species
GUAGAAUUCAUCAUGAGUAACUAGUUUCGCCAAUUGAAGGACUUUGUAUUAGAGACAGAUGAUUGUUUUCUUCAAGUCAUUUGGUACAGAACUGUGGCAAAUGUUAAACUGAAUUGUUUUGUUAUUGAUGUUUUUUCUUUUCUUUUUUUUUGGUGAUUAUCAGGGAACAGCAUAUGGUCAGUCACUGUCAAUGGUUGUUGUUUUUUUU